GUGCUCGCUUCGGCAGCACAUAUACUAAAAUUGGAAUGAUACAGAGAAGAUUAGCAUGGCCCCUGCGCAAGGAUGACGUAGGGAUACAUAACGAGAUAUUCACCUUC